GGCACAGUGGCGGAGUGGUCUAACGCGUGUGACUCGAAUUUCUAUCUAGACUUCAAGUCUACGGUAGUGUCUAUCACAUCUCUUCGGAGGCGCCCGUUCGAAUCGGGCCUGUGUCG